UAGAUAUAUUAUCUUUUGGGCCUUAGAUACUAUUUUAUUUGGGCUUAAGGGUUUAAUGGGUGCCAUGCUCAAAUAUAAAUAGACCUUCAGGGUUUCGAUCCCCAAUAUACCAAAGUCGCAUUUGUUGUUCUUUCCCCAUCAAAAGAGUUGCAAUUCAGCCACCUAGAAAUACAGAAGGCUUCAGUUGAGGAAGAUCGAAAGAACCACAAGAUCCAAACUCUUCCGAUCGUAUGAUUCAUGUUUAUAAAUUCAGGUACGCUUCCGCAUUAUGAUAUGAUAUAUUUUUGAUGAUUCAAUAUGAAUGAUCUGGAAAGGGUUGCCUGUG